UAAUGGCAGGUCAGCAUACUGCCGUGAAUACGUUCCCGGGCCUUGUACACACCGCCCGUCACACCAUGAGAGUUGGGAAUACCCGAAGCCUGUGAGCUAACUUUAAGAGGCAGCAGUCGAAGGUAGAAUCAAUGAUUGGGGUGAAGUCGUAACAAGGUAGC
rnacentral:rRNA from 1 species